UCUGGCGGCCACAGCAGCCUGGACCCACGCCUUCCCAUCCCGAACAGGACCGUGAAACGGGUUUGCGCCGAUGAUAGUGUGCCGUUUGCGCACGCGAAAGUAGGUUACCGCCAGGC
rfam:Acidobacteria bacterium RIFCSPLOWO2_12_FTLL_67_14b rifcsplowo2_12_scaffold_22074, whole genome shotgun sequence.